rnacentral:rRNA from 1 species
UACGGAGGGUGCAAGCGUUAUCCGGAUUCACUGGGUUUAAAGGGUGCGUAGGUGGGCAAGUAAGUCAGUGGUGAAAUCUCCGGGCUUAACCCGGAAACUGCCAUUGAUACUAUUUGUCUUGAAUACUGUGGAGGUCAGCGGAAUAUGUCAUGUAGCGGUGAAAUGCUUAGAUAUGUCAUAGAACACCAAUUGCGAAGGCAGCUGGCUACACAAAUAUUGACACUGAGGCACGAAAGCGUGGGGAUCAAACAGG